rnacentral:rRNA from 1 species
AUACGUAGGUGGCAAGCGUUAUCCGGAUUUAUGGGCGUAAAGCGAGCGCAGGCGGUUUUUUAAGUCUGAUGUGAAAGCCUUCGGCUUAACCGGAGAAGUGCAUCGGAAACUGGGAGACUUGAGUGCAGAAGAGGACAGUGGAACUCCAUGUGUAGUGGUGGAAUGCGUAGAUAUAUGGAAGAACACCAGUGGCGAAGGCGGCUGUCUAGUCUGUAACUGACGCUGAGGCUCGAAAGUAUGGGCAGC